UACGGAGGGUGCGAGCGUUGUCCGGAAUCACUGGGCGUAAAGGGCGCGUAGGCGGCGCGGUAAGCGUGCGGUGAAAGCCCGGGGCUCAACCCCGGGUCGGCCGUGCGGACUGCCGGGCUCGAGCACUGUAGAGGCGGGUGGAAUUCCGGGUGUAGCGGUGGAAUGCGUAGAGAUCCGGAAGAACACCGGUGGCGAAGGCGGCCCGCUGGGCAGUGGCUGACGCUGAGGUGCGACAGCGUGGGGAGCAAACAGG
rnacentral:rRNA from 1 species